UCCUGCUGGAGUUUUGUGAGUGAGCCCAGGAUAGGGGCAAUAAUAGGACAAAAAAUUGAAUCGUGUCACUCAAUGAGACCCUACAGGAAUGGAGUAGGAUGAGCUUGAUUGUGGUGGAGAGGGAAAUAUCUACCGGUUAAAAGACAAGCAGACACAGACACCAGACAAAAUUUAGCAAGAAGAUGAAAGAACUACAACUGAGAGUAUUACAGGUGGGAUCUCAGAAGAUCAAAGUAGAGGCGGAGAAUCACCUCCUGUUAGCCUCCUAGUCAUGUUUCUUGUGAUGCAGCUCAGGAUAUGACUGGCUUUUUGGGCUGCCAGCACUCACAUUGAGUUUUUCAUCAAAGAAAACCUCUGAAGUCCUUCUUCUCAGGGCUGCUUUUCAUCUGUUCUCCACUGCAGUUGUACUUUGGAGUGCCCCAGUCAAGAUACAGGACCUUGUACUUGGCCUUGUUGAAUUAUGAGUUUCAUACAGGUACACCUCUCAAGAUUGCCAAGUCCUCUGUGUGGCACUUCUCCCUUCCCGUAUGACAAUUGCAAUAUGCAGCUUGGGAAUCAUCAACAAACUUGCUGAAGAUGCAUUCAAUCUUACAGUCCAUGUCACUAAUAAAGAUGUUAAAUAGCACAAAUCCAUCUAUCAACCCCUAAAGCAUGCCAUUCAAUUACUGAAAAGGAGAGGGACUUGAGAAAUAAAACAAAACAAUUCUCUCAGACUUAUAUGAAACAUUAAAAGUAAUACAGCAAUAAAAUAAAGCAAUAUUAUGUUUUUUACACAGUGGCAAAUUUAAGUUCCUAAUAGUCUAGUGAGAAAGAAAUCAAGUAUUAAAAGUUGCAUUGCAUCUCUAUAAAACCUAGCUAUUAUUUGUAAGAUUAAGUACUAUGAUAACAGAAGUUCCCAGUUCAGCUCGGAGAAAAAACCUUGCACAAAUGUAAUAUGUUGUCAAUAAAAAUUUAGAAGAAGGUAUAAAUCCCUUCAUAUCCAAUUUCUCUCAUCCUUUUCAGUGAAAUCUUUCCUAGAUGAAUCUCCCCAGAUUUAACAGGAUUGUUUAGGACAAAAGAAAGGAUAGCCACUUCUGCUUUACAAAUACUGAAAAAAAAAGUUCAAGUAUCUCAGCUUUUCAAUUUCUCUCACUUCCCUUCUUAUCUUUAAAUGAAAGCAAGGUUGUCGGAAAGUUAGAUCAUGGCACUACUGUGAAGAAUAUGAUUAGUCACAACAGGUUUUUAAGUCCUACACAGACGUCUGUACACUGACAUUGGUAAGCUAAAAAUACCUCUUCCCAGGACUCCCUGAGUCCCUAGGUUUUUUCAGCAAAUCAUACAUAACUCAGUGAGAAAAAAGACACCUGGUAUCAUAACAUAUUAUCCCCAAAAUAGUUGCUAAGUAGAUAACUCAUUUUAUCAUUUGACAUUAUAUAUUGAACUUUACAUUAAUAUACAUUCUUUGAAAAUAGAUUCAACUUCUAAAAAGACAUCUAAUAGGUGAAAGCAGAAGCUGAUAAGGGAGCAAGAUUUCCUAAAUAAGAGCUAAAAGUACUUUUAAAUUUCAACAUUGUGAUUUAUCCUUUUUAUACAAGGUAAGUGAAAGUGAAAAGGAUCAGUAUGCAGAGAUUUUUUUACAUGAUUUUACAGGCAGUGAUAGAGAGAGCUGUAAGUAAUUUUAUAACCACUUGAGAAUUGAUAGAAAAAGUUAGCUUCAGCUAUUUCAGACCAUACAAAACAUUUUAACUUAAGUUAAAAGUCUUCAAGGUAAAUGAGUUUUGCUUUUUCAAAUGUUAAUAUUGUGUUGACUUUCUAAUUCUUACUUUUAAAAAACUAAUUUAUAAAUAUUUGUAAAAUGUGAGGUAAAAUUUGAAUGAAAUUUUUGCUUCACAAGCUGAAUUUAUUUUUAAGAGGUUGUUAUACAUAAUUUGCUUUCCCUUGAAACGUAACCUCAUCAGCUUUUGUUGUUGUUAAUAUUAGUACUCAGAGAAAUAAUUAGAAGCUAUUUUAUAUUUAAAUCCUGUUUACACUAAGUGCCUCUGUAAAGACAUUCUAAGAUGGAGUAGUUGAUGCACCUAAUUUGUUCAAAGUUUGUAAUGUUCAGAGGAAUGCUAUAGUUACAGAGGUUACAUUCACUACACAACUUGCUAAAGAUUGAUUAAACAAUGUCAAAUAACUCUGGCAUGUUUAUGUAGCUAACAUUCUGUUUGAGUAUGCGUCUGAGAGAUCUAGUAGUUAUCAAGUUCCAUCUUUAAGCAUUUGCCCCUAAUACAACUCCUUUCUGUUCAGGAUAAGGAUGAUUUUAUUUUUUGCUUGAUGAUGAAGCUUGACACAACAUAAUACUUUUUUUUUCCCUGCUAAGUUUCUCUGAACCAAAAUGGAUAGGAAAAGCAUGAUACUUCAUGGUAGACAAAAAUAUAUAAAGUUGCUGUGAAGUUGCAUGCAGGGCCAAACUACUAAAACCUAUUGAAGAAGGUUGGUUGUUUUUUUUGUUUGUUUUUAUUUUUUUGAGGUUUCUUUCCUCCUUAUUCUAGCAUAUAAAACUAGGAGCAUCAAAAA